GAUGAACGCUGGCGGCGUGCCUAAUACAUGCAAGUCGAGCGAACAGACGAGAAGCUUGCUCCUCUGACGUUAGCGGCGGACGGGUGAGUAACACGUGGAUAACCUACCUAUAAGACUGGGAUAACUUCGGGAAACCGGAGCUAAUACCGGAUAAUAUAUUGAACCGCAUGGUUCAAUAGUGAAAGACGGUUUUGCUGUCACUUAUAGAUGGAUCCGCGCCGCAUUAGCUAGUUGGUAAGGUAACGGCUUACCAGGGCAACGAUGCGUAGCCGACCUGAGAGGGUGAUCGGCCACACUGGAACUGAGACACGGUCCAGACUCCUACGGGAGGCAGCAGUAGGGAAUCUUCCGCAAUGGGCGAAAGCCUGACGGAGCAACGCCGCGUGAGUGAUGAAGGUCUUCGGAUCGUAAAACUCUGUUAUUAGGGAAGAACAAAUGUGUAAGUAACUAUGCACGUCUUGACGGUACCUAAUCAGAAAGCCACGGCUAACUACGUG
rnacentral:rRNA from 1 species